CCUAAGGAUAUUGUCAACAUUAUGGUAUUGACCAUAACGAAAUAUUUUCUGCUGUGGCAAUGCUAAAAUUUCAGAGUUGGAACAUGUAUUUUGAUAAGUAAUCGAAAACGCAUGGCUUCGUUGAGAAUGAAAAAAAUUCUAUAAAUACAAAUGGGUUAAUAGUUCUAUGAGUGUAUUUCUUAUUUUGUAUAUGAAUAAAAUUCUCUUAAUUGAAAAUAACAUUUCUUAUAUUAUAGAAAAUUUAGGUUUCACUGUUAUUAUUAUUCUCUAUAAAGGACUUUGGAAAAAGCA
rnacentral:lncRNA from 1 species